ensembl:snoRNA
GGGGUGUGCUCAGAGCAAGGGGCAUAAAGAAAUGGCUCCUUUGUUUAUAACAACAGGAAUCUGGGUUCAUUGUGACAAGGGGCACAAAACUUGGGGCCUUCCUAUGAACAAAUACCCUACAUGU